UAGAAAAGGGAUAGAAGCUAUUUUUCUUCAUAAAGACAUCUUCUUCAUAAAGUACAUGAAAUCUGUAGUGUUGUUUUUCUCCUCAUGAUUAUUCUCCACAAAACUGUGCCCUGAGUCUCGCCAUUGUGGAAAAUCUGGAGGGAAAACCUAAAGCUAGUCUGCAAGAGAGUUUUCAUAAGUCUUCAUGGUAAUGAGAGAAACGACCACAACUUGGUGAAGAAAGUGAUGCAUGGAGAGAUAAAGAGACUUCAAAGACACAUUGAAAAAAUCUGGCAUACAGGAUGCUACUGGAAUAUAAAUACAUUCUAUCUGGGAUGAGAAAACCAAGGCAUUGAGAGAUUAAAUAUUUUGCCUAAAUUGCAUGGUUGCUGAGCAGUAGAGGGUUCAAACCCAGACAGUCUCACUCUGGGGUCUAUGCUCUUCAACACUACGCAGUAGUGGAAUCCUGCCCGAGCCCAUGACCUAAUGAAGUAAUUUCAUACCUUUCUGCACCCCCUAUUUUGAAGGAGACAAUAACUGACAAAGUUUUGCACAGAAACCUGUAUCAACAUCCAGUGAUGCAGAGGGGCAGAGAGAUCACCAGGAUAAAGUGGCUUUCUG